rnacentral:rRNA from 1 species
CUCCGGGAAACCGGGGCUAAUACCGGAUGGUUGUUUGAACCGCAUGGUUCAAACAUAAAAGGUGGCUUCGGCUACCACUUACAGAUGGACCCGCGGCGCAUUAGCUAGUUGGUGAGGUAACGGCUCACCAAGGCAACGAUGCGUAGCCGACCUGAGAGGGUGAUCGGCCACACUGGGACUGAGACACGGCCCAGACUCCUACGGGAGGCAGCAGUAGGGAAUCUUCCGCAAUGGACGAAAGUCUGACGGAGCAACGCCGCGUGAGUGAUGAAGGUUUUCGGAUCGUAAAGCUCUGUUGUUAGGGAAGAACAAGUACCGUUCGAAUAGGGCGGUACCUUGACGGUACCUAACCAGAAAGCCACGGCUAACUACGUGCCAGCAGCCGCGGUAAUACGUAGGUGGCAAGCGUUGUCCGGAAU